CCGAACACGAGGAAGAGAGCGUAAACGAGGCACAGGAGAAGAGACUGCCGGAGUUCCAUCUUAGAGACAAAAAAGCACUAAGAAACUGGAGAAGAGUACUCGAUUCUCGUGCGUGCGAAUCCCUCUUUUUUUUCCAGAGUCAGGUGGAGUGUUCGUUCACAUGGCUGGUGGAGAAACGCGACCGUAUGUAUGCUACAACCUUACCACACCAACAACUAGCUUCAACACAUGCUGAGUCCGCGAUUCGGCGAGCGAGAGUUAAAAUGCGUUGCCUUUUAGCUACCUCGUCAGAUUUAUUAGCGCCAUAACUACUCCUUAUUCAACGGAAUUGUAUUAUUUUCAUUAAAUGAAUCUCAUUA